GGCGCCAUGCCAACGACGUUUCGGCGGCACGUGGACUUGUGAAAAGCUGAGCGUUCAGAGCCUCCCUCUGCAAGACUCGUUCUGGAGAAGACGUCAUGAAAUGCGGUUGCAGUCCUAUUAGUGUUCUGUCGGACUACUUAUCAUCACAGAGUUUAUUGUGAUUGGCUUUCCCACCCACCUACUCCCAUGAUCGGCCUAAUAAUUAAAGCUAUCCUGCAACUGCCGCCGUACUGCAGAGCUACGGGUGCAUCAGGGGCCCGUGACAUGAUACAGAGAGACAGCUUAACUAUUAAAUAUCCAUCACGCCACGCCACAUCAGUCCUAAUGCAAUCAGAAACACAUGACUACAUCGCCCGGGCCCCCACUUCAAUCCACAAUGAUUAAAUGCAGCAGCUGUACUUCUGACUGCACAAGCAGGAAUCCAUCCGCUCACACCUCCAAACCUAAACUACACCGACAGGAACAGUUGCUUUAUGCCCCUCUUAAUCAGCAGGACUAGAAUUGAAGAUGACUUCAAAGAGAUAUGAUGUCCUUUAUUCUGUAAUUCUUUUCCAUUUGUACACAUCUUCGACAAUGAUUUACUGCCAUGUUGGAUUUGUGUGUAUGUGUGUUUCACUGCUUCUAUUCUGAGAUUGCACAGCUGGUGUCAGUAUUUCAAACAGCAUGUUUCUGUUGUCUUUGUUUUUUCUUGGCUUUCUGUACAAUUUGGGGUGACCAGCUGUGGUGAUUGCCUUUCCUUCCUUGGCUUUUCCUUGUGUGUAAUUUAAACUUGGCUUGCAGUGACAGUGGUGUUUGAAAAGGCCUUGGAAAGGACCUGAAAUAGACAACUAAAAGCAACAUGUCAGCACGUGAGAGAAUGUCUCAUGGAGAUCUCCACUGGAAACUAAACUGACCUAGGCUAGAUUAAAGGGUAUGUUCUCCUGGGUCUUGCAUGUCACUGAGCUUUUCUCGAUGUAUUUUGCUGUGUAUGCGCGUGUAACUGUGUAACACAUGCAUACGUUUUUCACCUGCAGUUUCCUGUGUGCAAAAAAAAAAUCUGUGUGUAGUUAAAUCUUCAAUUAAUUUGUGUUUUAAGCACAUUGUACUUAUUUUUUGAUGUAAGUACAUAGUAGUCAAAGCAAUAUUUCAAAUGAAAAUGCUGUGAUCAUUUACGCACCCUCAAGUAGUUCCAUAUGAAUUUCUAUGUUCUGCUGAACGCAAAGUAAGAUAUUUUGAAAAAAGUUUGUAUCCAGGCUGCUUUGGGUUCACCAUUGGCUUCCAUACUCAAGUGUGAAUAGUUUUUGGUGAACUAUUUCUUUAAAUUUUCCCUACUAUCAAGAUCCAAAAUGUAUUUGAUUAAUUUGAUCAAAAAUACAGUACAGAGGGUAAUAUUCUGAAUAUCCCAUUAUUUUUUUCAUAAAUAUGUGUUUCAGUUAAUUAGUGAUGUUAAAAAAUAUUUUUUUAUGAAAUAAAGCAAGGUAAUUUAGAUGUAACUGUUUUCAGGUUAGCUUUU